rnacentral:ncRNA from 2 species
CCCGCCGCUGUAAUCCUUGCUGCAAUGCCUCAUCAAUGAGCCACUGGUGAAAACCGGGAAGGCGAUAAGGCUAAAAGGAGAGCCAGAAGACCUGCCUAUAGUUAAAACCUAUA